AGGAUAAACGCUGGCGGCGUGCCUAACACAUGCAAGUCGAACGUCUCUUCUUUCGGGAAGAGGAGUGGCGGACGGGUGAGGAACACGUGGGAACCUGCCCUUUAGUGAGGAAUACCGGCGAGAAAUCGCCGACAAGACCGCAUAGCCCUCUUUGAUGAGAGUCAAAGAAGGAAAGCUUCGCAAGAGGCGCUAGAGGAGGGGCCUGCGUCCGAUUAGCUAGUUGGUGGGGUAAGAGCCUACCAAGGCGUCGAUCGGUAGCUGGUCUGAGAGGACGAUCAGCCACACUGGGAUUGAGAACGGCCCAGACUCCUACGGGGGCAGCAGUGAGGAAUUUUCGGCAAUGGGGGAAACCCUGACCGAGCAACGCCGCGUGCAGGAAGACGGCCUUCGGUUGUAAACUGCUUUUCUUUGGGACGAGAACGGACGGUACCAGAGGAAUCAGCCCGGCUCACUACGUGCCAGCAGCCGC
rnacentral:rRNA from 1 species